UAAUUUACAUCUAUGUUUCUUUUCUCUACCUCUCGCAAUAUAAUUAAUACCUUUUUGAAAACUGGGAAGCUAAGCUGCUAGUAGUCAAGUGUUGACUAUUGAAGAUGUAGAGACAUUCUGUAAGGCAUUAAUAUGAAAGAUUUUACAGUGAUCUUGAAAUUGCUUUCAGAACCUUAAAAAUUUGUAUUCUUCAAAGAGGUUGCAGAACGUGCAGAAGAAGCAUACCUUUCCCCAACAAAGAAUGAAAAAAAAUUUAACAGAGAGAAUAUUAGACUGAUGUUGCUUUUUAUUUUAACUUCACAACUAUUGAACUACUAAUUACUAUUUCUGUUAGGAUAAAUGAAUGAAACAUUCAAUUUGCCAGCAACUAACAGUAUGAAAUAAAAAAUGGAGAAGUUUAAAAUCACAGUAUGAAAUUAUCCUACAAAAAUUACACCUCGAUCUACAGUUGCUAACAACUUUGUUUCUGUGAUGAUGAUGUGUUUGAUGCAUUCUUUUUCUGAUUUGAUCUCAUUUUGUUUUCUCUGUUUUGCACUAUUUUUUCGUAGAUCAAAAUCCCUGAAUGCAAUGAAUUACAAAUAGAAGAGUCUGUACAAGACAACUUGGUCUGGCUCGUAAUGAACUAACAGUUAGUUUAAAAUGAUAAUUCAAGGUUACAAAUGAAUUGGUUCCUCAUGACUUCAUCAACUGAUCGAUCUUCAUUUCAAAAUUGAUGGUCGAGGCCAUUAAAGAUGACCCGAUUUCACUUGUGAAUUGUGCAGUAAUCCAUGAAUUGGACAACCUUGACUGUGUUGGAAGGGCUUGAGAAGCUAAUGAUUUAAGUUUCUGUUGGCUGCACUGUAACUCUUCAAAUCGGUCUGUGUUUCCUUUCCUACCCGAGAAGUUGAGAUUGAAUGGGUUUUAAUCAUUUUGAGAGGCAUAUAACGGUAUGUAGUUGGCAUGUUGCUCUAGCUUAAGGUGUUCAAGGGAGAAAUUUCCUUCCACGGAAAAGUAUGGGAAGUAGUUGAAGGAGGAUUCUGUCAAUUAGGAUUCUUGCUUCUUGAAAUAAAAAGCCUGAAGCAGUUGAAGGCUAAUAAAUAUUCCUUCCAUAUCUCUGGCACUUGCGUUUAAGAUUCUGUCAUUGUUUGGAAGAGAUUCCCGGGAGUUUUGCAAUAUUUUGCAGUCAAUUGAGUUGAAACAGUGCAGCCCUUGUAUUGUCGCUGUUGCCAGGCAGAUUCAAGAAGGCUACAUCCAUUAUUAAAAAGAAUUGAAUGUUUGAGAUCAAAACCGACAGGAUUGAAAAUGAGGAAUCACCGUAUCCACAUGUAAAAGAGGACUUGCCAGACAUGAUAUAUAGUGAGCUAGUUAAGCGCUAUUAGAAAAAUGGUAUGUACACAGAUACAUAUCUCAUGUCUGCCCAUCCA